UAUAUACCCAUGUACAGGGACUAAUGUCACACACACAAAAAAGAGAAGUUAUUAAGGACUUCAGUUAAACAGCAUUUUACCCACUCAGUAAAUUUAGGUGUUACUUUUCACAGACAAGAUGCAGACGUGUACAUGAAAUGAUCUUACUAUCAGCAGUUUUGGAUGCAGUGUGGUCAACAAUGGCCCAUGGAAAAAGUUGUUGGCUAUUCAUAUUCAUGAACGAAAUUUGGACUUUUCAUGGGUCAAAAUGGGUCCUCAUCGGGAUACAAAAUCACAGAUGCUCUUAUCCAGGGCGAUUUGGUGACUCACAGACUAGUGAGUGUAUACAUUUUCCUAUUUGUUUGUUCUGGUCUCCCUAGGGAAUAGAACCCACCACUGUAAGGAAGUGCUAUUUCUUAUGCAAAUGACCAGCUUACUGCUAUUACAUUGCUAUAACUGAGACAACGUAUUUUCACAGUGAAACAUGUUAGGUCCCAUACAGGAUAGCUUCCACACCCACACACACACAGCACACACACAUACACACACUAACUGCCGAGGACACACAGAUAAGACAUACACCCACACAUUGGGGGGAAGAGACACAGCCUUGACUUGCAGACACAAGCACACACACACAAUCUCCUUCCUAGCCGAACAUUGUGUGACUGAGAACGGCACUACGAGACUCAGAGGAAUGACGGACGGCCCAACAGGGCCAACCAGAAGACCGGACUUCCAGACUCAACCUACUUUCUGUACUGUACAUAACAUGCUUGCAAUCUGUUAUCGGGGCUUCUUUCUGCUGGUUCCUUGUGAGCCAAAUGAAUGAGCCCGUAUACGUUGUACCAGAUAUCUUUACUCUGAAUAAACUGUCGCUUGUCAUACAAUU